AGAGAAAGCGAUGACCUUAAGAAGAUGGUGAUGGAGUACCAGUCUUAUUCCAACCAAAUAGAAUUCCUCCAGGAAAUGAACAAAACAUUGUAUGACAGCAAUGAUGGGUUACGCUCUGCACUGAGCCAGGAUAAUGCCUCUAUGAAAAGACGGCUCUCACCAAAAAAUGAAGUUCCUCCUAGGAAGAUGAAACCACUUCGACAGAGUACAAUGAAUCAGAGCGGGUAAUUAUAUACUUUGUUUACUCUCUAUUUG